CCAUCUUAGUGAAUCUCAAUAAAUGUAAUUUUGACAUACAUACAUGUUUAUCAACCAUAAGAUUUAUCAACCAUGUUUAUCCACUUAAUAUAUCAAAAAAUGAGAGUUGAGGGAGGAACUUUAACAAUACAAUCCUUUUUAGUGAAAAAGGUUGUAUUAUAUGAAGGUAGAGUGGCUACAAUCUUAUCCCUAAUUAGUACAAGCGAAAUCAAAAUCAUACUAAAGAGGGAUGCUUGUAGGGCCAGAGAAAGGCUUUAUAGAGGGUCGAUCGCUCUUAUAGAAUCAUAAAUAGAAGAAAUAGGAUGAAUUACCGUAGCUACUUUGAUGCCAAAAAUCGGCACCGGUUGCCGCAACAUUAUCCACAACCACCAUAAGGGAAGGUGACCAACAAUUUAUGAAGCGGGUUUGGAAGAAGAUGACAUCUAAAACUUAUAAGAAAACAGAGAAAAGGGUUAUAAAAAUGGAAGGUUGUUUAAGAAAGAAGUAAGGUUCAAGUGAAAUGGUAUUUAUAGGGGGUUACAGAGGAUUACUACGAAUGCAGGAUGACUUUUGAAGUGCAAAAGACCCUUUAUUGUCUAGAGCACAACAAGAUCACAUCAGGGCACAUUGCGCUACAAUUCACUUUCGGAUACAUCUUUCUAUCUCUGAGUGCAACACAGUGUGUUUAUAGUGCAUUGUGAUAUAUAUAUCUCGAUGCACUCCCUGUGUCAUCCAAUUAGUGCAUUGUUUCCAGAGACAGAGCAAUAUGCUAGCACGCAUUCUCAUACUUUAUUUAAGCAAAAACAAAAAAAACAAAAAACUAUUAUUUUAAUAGAAAUUUGAAUUUUUAAAUGCAUAGAGAGUGUCAGGUAAACUUUAGAGGAGUCUUUGUGCAACAUUUGUGUGUAAUUCUUUUCUUCCUUUGUAUUUUCAUCAAACAUUACGAGUACCUAAUUUAAUCAUUGAUUAGGGCAUAGAUGAACCUCCUUGAAUGCAUGUAAUUAUGGUUUUUAUAUACUAUUUAUGUAAUUAUAAGUAA